UAUUUUAUGAACCGGGAACUAGCGAUUGGCUUAGAGAGUCAACUGACCACUCUAGCCAAUCAGCGGCACCCAUGCCUGACGUCAAUCUGCACUUCCUGACACUCUGUUUCAGAAGCCAAAUACCACUGAGCGACCUGGAGCUGGAGGAAGCCUUUAGGGUUAAACCAUUUGAGAGCGAUUUAACCCCUUAAAGGAAAGCGA